rnacentral:rRNA from 1 species
UACGUAGGGAGCAAGCGUUGUCCGGAAUUACUGGGCGUAAAGCGCGUGUAGGCGGCAGCGCAAGUCGGGCGUGAAAUCCCACGGCUCAACCGUGGAAGUGCACUCGAAACUGCGCAGCUAGAGUCCUGGAGAGGAAGGUGGAAUGCUUGGUGUAGAGGUGAAAUUCGUAGAUAUCAAGCGGAACACCGGUGGCGAAGGCGACCUUCUGGACAGUGACUGACGCUGAGACGCGAAAGCGUGGGGAGCAAACAGG